UGCAUAUCCAAAAAGCGGAAAAGAAACUAACAAGGAUUCCCCUAGUAAUGGCGAAUGAAGAGGGAAAAGCCCAAAUUUGUAAUCUGGCUCUUUCAGAGUCCGAGUUGUAAUUUUAAGAACUGUUUUCAGUGCUGGACCAUGUACAAGUCUGUUGAAAAGCAGCAUCAUAGAAGGUGAUAAUCCUGUUCAUGAUAUGGACUACCAGUGCAAUACGAUACAGUCUCUAAGAGUCGAGUUGUUUGGGAAUGCAGCUCAAAGUGGGUGGUAAAUUCCAUCUAAGGCUAAAUAUUGAUGAGAGACCGAUAGCAAACAAGUACCGUGAGGGAAAGAUGAAAAGAACUUUGGAAAGAGAGUUAACAGUACGUGAAAUUGUUAAAAGGGAAACAAUUGAAGUUAGACUUGUUAUUAUUAGUUCAACCUUUUUUAAAGGAGUAUUCUAAUGAUUAACAGACCAACAUCAAUUUUUGGGUGUUGGAUAAGGGUUUAAGGAAAUGUAGCAGUCUCUGGCUGUGUUAUAGUCCUGAGCUUUGAUACAAUGCUUAAGAUUGAGGAAUGCAGUAAGCCUUUUUUUUGAGGUGGAACAAAUUAGUGUCUCUACUGAGGAUGUUGUCCAAUGUUC
rnacentral:rRNA from 1 species